rnacentral:rRNA from 1 species
CCUACGGGAGGCAGCAGUGGGGGAUAUUGCACAAUGGGGGAACCCCUGAUGCAGCGACGCCGCGUGUGGGAAGACGGUCCUCUGGAUUGUAAACCACUGUCCCCAGGGACGAAGAUGACGGUACCUGUGGAGGCCGCUCCGGCUAACUCCGUGCAAGCAGCCGCGGUAAUACGUAGGGAGCGAGCGUUGUCCGGAAUUACUGGGUGUAAAGGGAGCGUAGGCGGGGAUGCAAGUUGGGUGUCAAAACUACCGGCUCAACUGGUAGUCGAACUCAACACUGCAGCUCUUGAGUGAAGUAGAGGCAGGCGGAAUUCCUAGUGUAGCGGUGAAAUGCGUAGAUAUUAGGAGGAACACCAGUGGCGAAGGCGGCCUGCUGGGCUUUUACUGACGCUGAGGCUCGAAAGUGUGGGGAGCAAACAGGAUUAGAUACCCCAGUAGUC